rnacentral:rRNA from 1 species
UACGGGGGGGGCAAGCGUUGUUCGGAAUUACUGGGCGUAAAGGGCGCGUAGGCGGUUUGCUAAGUUGAAUGUGAAAACUCUGGGCUUAACCCGGAGCCUGCAUUCAAUACUGGCAGGCUAGAGUUCUGGAGGGGAUAGCGGAAUUCCUGGUGUAGCGGUGAAAUGCGUAGAUAUCAGGAGGAACACCGGUGGCGAAGGCGGCUAUCUGGACAGAGUCUGACGCUGAGGCGCGAAAGCUAGGGGAGCAAACAGG